CGGACGGUGGUGCUCAGCUCCGCCGCCCACCAGCCCGUGCUGCUGCCCGGCCUCAAGGGCCUGCAGGGCUACAAGCUGGUCCAGCUGCCGCACCCGGCCGGCCCGCUGCCGGCCCGAGGUCACGCCGUGCACCAGAAGCCGGUCGACGUGUCUUCGGCCGUGGUGGCGGCGUCGCUGCCCUCGCCCGCCGCCUCCGUGGCGUUAUCGUUACCAUCAGCAUCGCCUUCAUCAUCAUCAUCCGGGCCGCAUGGGCACCCCUCGUAGCCGCGGCUGCGACGGCGCGUUGUUGUGGCGUUAUCAGCCGUGGAGGCGGGCUAGGCCGCUCUGGCGCCCCGCCACGCGCGGGGAGUGUUCGUCACCCUGUUCGACUCUGUUAUAUUCGUUUACCAUUGAUCCAUCGGCCGAAGUUACGCUGUCGUAUUUGUACCUGUGUUUACGCCCUGCAAGGGAAUCUGAGGUUGGGACUCAUCAGUUGCCUGGAGCGAGUCCGCUCCCACGGUGCUCCGUUAGUGUAUUGUGCGUGCAAAUAUACAGUCGUAUGAAUUGAGCUGCAGCAUGAC